rnacentral:lncRNA from 1 species
AAUCACAAUAGACUCGAGCUCCAUUAGCAACCUUAAGCAAUUUCACACAUGCGUUAAUUCAAGAAAUACCGUUUUAUCAUUUUGAACUUUAAUACCGUGAUAGGAAAUAGGGUGAGGGGUCCUUACUUGUUUUCGGGAUCCGAAUACGAUUCACAAUGCGCCUGCAGGCUGUCCCUAAUUUUUCCUGAAUUUUUCCCGGGGAACUGAAACACACUAACAGUACCUGCACGUGUUCCAAAAAAAAUCCAAAUUAGGCCCAGGGCCUCUUUCGGCCCAAAUCGCAACUCCGGCACGGCGGCUCCGCCGUGCUCCGGCGACGGCGCCGCCGCUGGCGACGGCGAGUCGCCUCGGGUUGACUGUUUUCGGUCGUUUUUGGCCGAAUUCGGCCACACUCGCAUUGGUCCUUGUCAGAAAACAACCCUAGGGCCCUCGGGGGGCCAAAAAAUCACGGAAAAGCGGAGCUUACCGGCGGCGGUGCUCUCGGGUACGGCGACUCUCCGGCGAGGUUCGUGUUUUGGUGAUUUGGCUUCGGUCAACCUGUAGAGAAAAGAAUGGUGAUCACGGUGAUAUAAAAAUUGCAUCGAACGGAGGCCGGGAAGGGCCUCGUCGGAGGCAAAAACCGAGAGGGGGCGCGGCGGCGCCGCUGGGCUUCGGCCGCGUAUUCCGGCCGUUUGGCCGGGAUUUCGGCUUCGAUUUGGCCAUAGGAGGAAUCAGUGGGGAAAAACGAGUCGGGGGUAUGAAAUUUACCUCGAUCGGCGGUCGGAAAUUUCCCCGGUGCGGCGGCGAGUGGCGGCGAGUGGCGGCGGUCGGCCUCUGGUUCGUCUUCUCCGGCGAGCGACUGGCGGCUAGGGUUUGUGCUCUGGUGUGGGGGUUCUAUUUAUAACCCCUUGCCUUUUGAUCACAGCCGUUCGUUUCGUUUUAAUCUGG